rnacentral:tRNA from 1 species
GCGGGAGUAGUUCAAUUGGCAGAACGUCUCCUUGCCAUGGAGAAGGUUGCGGGUUCGAGUCCCGUCUCCCGCUCAA